rnacentral:rRNA from 1 species
GAAUUCGGCUUAGAGUUUGAUCAUGGCUCAGAAUCAACGCUGGCGGCGCGCCUAACACAUGCAAGUCGAACGAGAAAGUGGAGCAAUCCAUGAGUACAGUGGCGUACGGGUGAGUAACACGUGGAUAAUCUACCUUUUAGUGGGGAAUAACCGAGGGAAACCUUGGCUAAUACCGCAUAAUCCCGAGAGGGGAAACGCGAAAGCGGCUGAAAGAGGAGUCCGCGGCCGAUUAGCUAGUUGGCAGGGUAAAAGCCUACCAAGGCAAAGAUCGGUAGCCGGCCUGAGAGGGCACACGGCCACACUGGCACUGAAACACGGGCCAGACUCCUACGGGAGGCAGCAGUGGGGAAUCUUGCACAAUGGGGGAAACCCUGAUGCAGCGACGCCGCGUGAGCGAUGAAGCCCUUCGGGGUGUAAAGCUCUUUCGGCAGGGAAGAUUAUGACGGUACCUGCAGAAGCAGCUGCGGCUAACUACGUGCCAGCAGCCGCGGUAAUACGUAGGCAGCAAGCGUUGUUCGGAGUUACUGGGC